rnacentral:rRNA from 1 species
ACAAGUAGUCAGAGCCCGUUAAUGGGUGAUGGCGUGCCUUUUGUAGAAUGAACCGGCGAGUUACGAUUUGAUGCAAGGUUAAGCAGUGAAUGUGGAGCCGUAGCGAAAGCGAGUCUGAAUAGGGCGUUGAGUAUUUGGUCGUAGACCCGAAACCAGGUGAUCUACCCAUGACCAGGUUGAAGUUCAGGUAACACUGAAUGGAGGACCGAACCGACUUACGUUGAAAAGUGAGCGGAUGAGUUGUGGGUAGCGGAGAAAUUCCAAUCGAACCUGGAGAUAGCUGGUUCUCUCCGAAAUAGCUUUAGGGCUAGCCUCAAGUGAUGAUUAUUGGAGGUAGAGCACUGUUUGGACGAGGGGCCCUUAUCGGGUUACCGAAUUCAGACAAACUCCGAAUGCCAAUCAAUUUAACUUGGGAGUUAGAACGCGGGUGAUAAGGUCCGUGUUCGAAAGGGAAACAGCCCAGACCACCAGCUAAGGUCCCAAAAUAUAUGUUAAGUGGAAAAGGAUGUGGCGUUGCCCAGACAACUAGGAUGUUGGCUUAGAAGCAGCCAUCAUUUAAAGAGUGCGUAAUAGCUCACUAGUCG